rnacentral:misc_RNA from 1 species
GAUGAAGAACGCAGCGAAAUGCGAUAAGUAGUGUGAAUUGCAGAAUUCCGUGAAUCAUCGAAUCUUUGAACGCACAUUGCGCCCCUCGGUAUUCCGUGGGGCAUGCCUGUUCGAGCGUCAUUUACCCCUCAAGCACUGCUUGGUGUUGGGCGUCUGUCCCGCUUCGCGCGCGGACUCGCCCCAAAGGUAUUGGCAGCGGUCGUGCCAGCUUCUCGCGCAGCACAUUGCGCUUCUCGAGGCGGUCGAUCGGCGUCCACGAAGCUCACCUCCACCGUUUGACCUCGGAUCAGGUAGGGAUACCCGCUGAACUUAAGCAUAUCAAUAAGCGGAGGA